UGUCCCAUUGAAUGGUAGUCCAACAGAUCCUUUGUUGAUGCCUAGCUCAGGGUCCUUUGUUCCUGAGAGGCUGGGCUGGAUUUGUCCCAUACAUGCCAUGAUGAGGUGUGAACUGCCCCUCUGUUCUUGGAGAGUUUUGCCUGGGCUUGUUUUAAGCCAUGAAGACACGUUUUCAGACUCAUAACUAUAUACAUGA